GACGGACCCUAUGCAGCUUUACUGUAACUUGAUAUUUGUUUUUUUUUUUCUUUUUUUUUUUUUUUUUCCUAUAGCUAGGUGUAGUAUACAAGGGAGUAGCUUUUCUACGUCAGUGAAAUACCUUGACUAGUCUAAAGAAAAGACUUACCUAAUAUUGAUAACUUACUAAUUUUCCUAAGAAAAAUUCUACACUUUUCUAGAAAUUUUCUAUUAACUUUCAAUUGAAUUUUGGUAAUACAGCUGAUUAUAAACAGAUCGAAAAACCUGUUUGUAGGUAUUUAGUAAUAAAUUAUAUGGGAAAAUAUCAGGUGGUCAGUUUGACUGGAACGGUAGCCUCUAAUAAAGUAUCAGAGGCCUUCAAAAGUAUGCAUAUAUUGGUCAGAAACCAAUGAACUAUGUAAAGUUUAUUAAAGCGUGAUAGUAUAAGCCUGCUUGAAUGAAAGACUGAUAGGUCGAUCAGAAACGCAAGUAGGAUAAAAUGAUCCGGUGAUUCAUAAUGGAAUGGUCAUCGCUCAAGAAAUAAAAGUUACGCUAGGGAUAAACUGUCGUCCCUAUC
rnacentral:ncRNA from 1 species